rnacentral:rRNA from 1 species
GACGAACGCUGGCGGCGUGCCUAACACAUGCAAGUCGGACGGGGUGAGUUAGUGGAAGCUUUCGGGUUGAAGCUGACUUACCUAGUGGCGGACGGGUGAGUAACGCGUGAAUUACCUACCCUAGGGAGGGGGAUAACGCCUGGAAACGGGUGCUAAUACCCCAUAGGCCGGGAGGUUAAAGGGAGAAAUCUGCCCUAGGAUGGGUUCGCGUCCUAUCAGCUAGUUGGUGGGGUAAUGGCCUACCAAGGCGAAGACGGGUAGCCGGUCUGAGAGGAUGUACGGCCACACUGGAACUGAGACACGGUCCAGACUCCUACGGGAGGCAGCAGUGGGGAAUAUUGGGCAAUGGGCGCAAGCCUGACCCAGCGACGCCGCGUGAGGGAAGAAGGCCUUUGGGUUGUAAACCUCUGUUGUACGGGAAGAAGGCAGUGACGGUACCGUACGAGGAAGCCCCGGCAAACUACGUG